GGAUAAGUGGUCGAGUGGUUUAAGGCGAUAGUUUUGAAAACUAUUGUAUGUUUUAAAAUCAUACCGUGGGUUCAAAUCCCACCUUAUCCU
rnacentral:tRNA from 1 species